rnacentral:rRNA from 1 species
UACGUAGGUGGCAAGCGUUGUCCGGAUUUACUGGGCGUAAAGAGCGCGCAGGCGGUCGGAUCAGUCGAAUGUGAAAGCCCCCGGCUCAACUGGGGAGGGUCAUUCGAUACUGUCCGACUCGAAGGCAGGAGAGGGAAGCGGAAUUCCCGGUGUAGUGGUGAAAUGCGUAGAUAUCGGGAGGAACACCGAUAGCGAAGGCAGCUUACUGGGCUGUAACUGACGCUGAGGCACGAAAGUGUGGGGAUCAAACAGG